rnacentral:piRNA from 1 species
UAGGAGAGUCUUGUUUUGGGAACCUCCA